rnacentral:misc_RNA from 1 species
GGAGAUCUUAAUUGAUCUUUGACGAAUUGUCGAAGUUUUCUUUUCCUCCAUGAAAUGUCACUAUCAGAAAGAGUCAUCGCCUCUCGCACUUUUAGCAUCUGAUUCCAUAAUGGCGUUGCUUUCUGAUGUGUUACGGAAUCACAAGGAUCCAGAGCAAGUCUUUUCAACCGUGCCAGCACUUCUGCAUCAGAAUACCUCCCAAACACCAACUUCCCUUGUUCUUCAGUUACACUUCCUCCCUCCUUCUUCAAACCCCCCAAUGCAGUCAUAUUUCAACUUACACCAACUGCUGUUUUCCUAAUUUCAACCAUGAUCAAAAUUGGCAGACGCCGGAGCGGCAAUUCCACCGGAAAAAGGAUAAACCCUAAC